AGGUCUACACCUGUUGUAUUCGAAUAACAUUUGAUUUGAUUUAACGUUGAAAAUGGUGUUCCUCUGUCGUUUCCAGGAUCGAAUCCAUUGAUAAGAUGGAAUCGGAUUUCAAGAACUGUCACAUGUUCCUGGUGACUAUACUUAACAAAGCUGUCUGCCGGGGGUCAUUUCCACACUUGGAGUCCCUUGCCCUGUCUCUGAUGGCCGGCUUUGAGCAGUGUUGAGAGAAGAGCAUCUCUUUCUGCCCGCCCACCCGACCCUCCGCCCACCCGACCUUCUGACCCCCCCCGACCCACGACCCUGCGCCCACCAGACCACCUGACCCCCAGACCCCCUGACCCCCAGACCCCCUGACCCUCCGCCCACCAGACCAUCCGCCCACCUGACCCCUCAACCCCCAGACCACCUGACCCCCUGACCCCUCAACCCCCUGACCCCUCAACCCCCAGACCACCCCUCAAGACUCUACAACACUGGCUACGUCCCAAUGGGCACCCUUUAAAGUGCACUACUUUUGGCCCUCUAGGGAAUAGAGUGGCAUUUGGGACACUGUAGUUGUUGUUGUUGACAUCAUAGGAGCCAGAAGUGAUAGACAAGCGGUCUGUUUCUCCACUAGCAACUGGGAAAGACAUCAUUCACCAGUCUCCUAAAUCAUGGAUGCUCCUCAUCAAUACCCUCAAGACAAUACAGAAGUAUUACAAAUGUGCUUGUAAAUGUUGUUGAUUUUGAAGCUGUUUUAUGGUGUUGUCAUCAAGGCUUCCUGCACUGCUGUUAGUGUUUUACAACUAUGGAUUUACAUUUGUUGGAUUUUGAUUUUCUGGUGAGAUUAUUUUUGAAUUGUUUGCAUUUGUACAUUUUGUUAAUUUUAGCAAUUGGAACAACUGUCAAUCCAGAAUAUCAUAAUAAUGUUUAAUAUCUCAGAUGUAUUUCUCCCUGGUGUUAGUUUAGUUCAUUGAAAUGUACGGGUUAAUAAGAAACAUAAGAACUAAAUAUUAAAUCAAACUUUUCAGACA